rnacentral:rRNA from 1 species
UAUGCACGCUGGCGGCGUGCCUAAUACAUGCAAGUCGAGCGAACAGACGAGGAGCUUGCUCCUCUGACGUUAGCGGCGGACGGGUGAGUAACACGUGGAUAACCUACCUAUAAGACUGGGAUAACUUCGGGAAACCGGAGCUAAUACCGGAUAAUAUAUUGAACCGCAUGGUUCAAUAGUGAAAGACGGUUUUGCUGUCACUUAUAGAUGGAUCCGCGCCGCAUUAGCUAGUUGGUAAGGUAACGGCUUACCAAGGCAACGAUGCGUAGCCGACCUGAGAGGGUGAUCGGCCACACUGGAACUGAGACACGGUCCAGACUCCUACGGGAGGCAGCAGUAGGGAAUCUUCCGCAAUGGGCGAAAGCUUGACGGAGCAACGCCGCGUGAGUGAUGAAGGUCUUCGGAUCGUAAAACUCUGUUAUUAGGGAAGAACAAAUGUGUAAGUAACUAUGCACGUCUUGACGGUACCUAAUCAGAAAGCCACGGCUAACUACGUG